AAGCUGGUAAGUGUUGGAGCUGAGACCUGAAUCCAGGACUUCCUGGCUCUGAAGCACAAAUUUGAAGCAGCCUUCUUCACCUGCAGGAGCCAGGCCUGCAUCAGUCAUCUGUUUAUAAGGCCAACAGCCUGAUCACCUCUUGCAAUCAACCAACAGCCUGUGCCACCUCUUGGGAUCACACAGCAGGCAGCAAACUUAUGGAACGUGGUUUCCAUGGAGGCAGAAGGAAGAUAAGGUUGGAGAAGCAGCUGCCUAAAUGGCCUGUGGGCCUGAACAUGAGGGGUGCCCGGC